UGUGCCCUUGAGGCGUGGCUUCCGGAGCUAACGCGUUAAGUCGACCGCCUGGGGAGUACGGCCGCAAGGUUAAAACUCAAAUGAAUUGACGGGGGCCCGCACAAGCGGUGGAGCAUGUGGUUUAAUUCGAUGCAACGCGAAGAACCUUACCUGGUCUUGACAUCCAGAGAAUCCUGCAGAGAUGCGGGAGUGCCUUCGGGAACUCUGAGACAGGUGCUGCAUGGCUGUCGUCAGCUCGUGUUGUGAAAUGUUGGGUUAAGUCCCGCAACGAGCGCAACCCUUAUCCUUUGUUGCCAGCACGUGAUGGUGGGAACUCAAAGGAGACUGCCGGUGAUAAACCGGAGGAAGGUGGGGAUGACGUCAAGUCAUCAUGGCCCUUACGACCAGGGCUACACACGUGCUACAAUGGCGCAUACAAAGAGAAGCGAACUCGCGAGAGCAAGCGGACCUCAUAAAGUGCGUCGUAGUCCGGAUUGGAGUCUGCAACUCGACUCCAUGAAGUCGGAAUCGCUAGUAAUCGUGGAUCAGAAUGCCACGGUGAAUACGUUCCCGGGCCUUGUACACACCGCCCGUCACACCAUGGGAGUGG
rnacentral:rRNA from 1 species